rnacentral:rRNA from 1 species
GUCCGCACCGUAACGAUGAUUACUCGUUGUUGGCGAUAUGACAGUCAGCGACCAAGCGAAAGCGAUAAGUAAUCCACCUGGGGAGUACGCCGGCAACGGUGAACUCAAAGGAAUUGACGGGGCCCGCACAAGCGGAGGAGCAUGUGGUUUAAUUCGAUGAUACGCGAGGAACCUUACCUGGGCUUGAAAGUUAGUGACCGAUUCUGAAAGGAGUCUUUCCGCAAGGACACGAACUAGGUGCUGCAUGGCUGUCGU